AUGAACGCUGGCGGCGUGCCUCAUACAUGCAAGUCGAGCGAACAGACGAGGAGCUUGCUCCUCUGACGUUAGCGGCGGACGGGUGAGUAACACGUGGAUAACCUACCUAUAAGACUGGGAUAACUUCGGGAAACUGGAGCUAAUACCGGAUAAUAUAUUGAACCGCAUGGUUCAAUAGUGAAAGACGGUUUUGCUGUCACUUAUAGAUGGAUCCGCGCCGCAUUAGCUAGUUGGUAAGGUAACGGCUUACCAAGGCAACGAUGCGUAGCCGACCUGAGAGGGUGAUCGGCCACACUGGAACUGAGACACGGUCCAGACUCCUACGGGAGGCAGCAGUAGGGAAUCUUCCGCAAUGGGCGAAAGCCUGACGGAGCAACGCCGCGUGAGUGAUGAAGGUCUUCGGAUCGUAAAACUCUGUUAUUAGGGAAGAACAAAUGUGUAAGUAACUAUGCACGUCUUGACGGUACCUAAUCAGAAAACCACGGCUAACUACGUG
rnacentral:rRNA from 1 species